CCUUAUCACGUUACCAAAUAUGUCCAACUCCUUGUAGCACACAACCAGGCAAUACAAAGCACCUCACCCAGUUGCUCUACAUAACAUCUCUCUCUCUCUCUCUCUCUCUCUCUCUCUCUCUCUCUCUCUUGUGGGUGGCAGGUUGAACUGUUGAAGGGUUUUCGUUGGUCUACUUUCACAGUUCAAACUAAUUUAAAGAACUAUGGGAAGCAAAAAGGCACCAAGUUGGGAUGAACAAUGGGGAGGUGGUGAAGACGAACACGACGUGGCCGUGACCAAUGGUAACAAAAGGCUGGGCGGCGGCAGCAGCAAGAAGAUGGAGGAGGCGAAGGCGGCGGCUUCAGCUGGGCUAGGCAAGGCAAAGGCGGCUGCGGUUGUGGGAGCCCAGAAGGUGCGGAGCGGGACCUCUGCCGGUAUCAAAUGGGUCAAGAACCAGUACCAGAAAAAAAGCUCCUCGAAUAAAUGAAUCAUCAGAUAUUUCAGUUCAAAUACCUAAAGAAGAAAAGGAUAGAAAGAUUUACAACUUUGCUUCAAUUUUUACAUUGAGUAAUUUAGAUCAUAUUUCGUAAGUCUAUUUCAUAGAACUUUGCUUGUAUUUCUAUCUUAUUUCACAAGGGCUUAUUGACAUUUUUUUGGAUGAUAUAUUGUUUGAGUUUCAUCGACGUCCCCAAAUUA